AUCUUGAGUAGCUUGGGUCUCAUGCCAAAUCCUUGCCCAGGCAUGGAGUAGUCUUGGGUGUGGGGGUGUUUGAUGCCCCCUCAAGGCUGAUAAAACAGGCAAGGAGAAAUUUUCAGAGGGAAUCUGGGCUGUCGUUACCAAAAUAAGAAGGAAGGGACGCGAGAGAGACAAAGACAGAGCUGCCCUCUACAACAUUUGGCAAAUGGUGACUGUCACAGUUCUUAGGGCUCAUCAAGCUAGGAUUUCUCCCUGAGAAGUCUCCUAGUCUUUGCUGCUCCUACUAAGCACUGGGAGAGGAAAUCCUGUCGGGACUAUGGAAGGCUGCCAGGUGCUUGCUGUGUGCACUCCCAUCCUACCACUUACUGCAUGAUGUUGACAUCUGCUCAUCUCUCACAUUUCUGUGGGUUCCUGAGCUUCUAGCGGGCUCCGAACCGGCGAAAUCCUGGGCCACUGAAGCAAGCGCACGAACUUAACCACUCGGCCACGGGGCCGGCCCCUCAGCCAGAGCCUUAAAGGGAUGAAGCCUGAAAGCAUCUGACCAUGGUGGGAUCAGGGACUUACACCCCAGAAAUGAGGCUGUUGUUGUGGCAUGUGGGACGCUGCCUCAGCGUGGUUUGAUGAGCAGUGCCAUGUCCGUGCCCAGGAUUCGAACCAAUGAAACACUGGACCGCCUGCAGCAGAGCGUGUGAACUUACCACUUGGCCAGGGGCCAGCCCCAACAAAGCUUUUAAGGAGCUCAUGUCUGACACCUAGGACAGAUUUUAGCCUGAAGUCACCAGUGUGGCAAUACAGGAAGCACAAAGGACCCAGGCUCGUGGAGCCAAGCUUCUCAGCCUCCCUGCGCUGCCCAUGUGAGCUUGGACAAGGCCCUCUUCGAAGCUCGCUGCCACCUGUUCACAGGUGCAAACCGUGAUGUGAGGGAUCAUGCAGUCUCCAACACUUUUCCUGACCAAGACUAUGUUCUGUUUCAUUCCACAGAGUAUGACCAAUAGUAAGAGCGAAUGCUUGCCAUGUGCCAGAGUUCUAAAUGGUUCAUAUAUAUAAAUUCAUCUUAUCUUCAGACAACUCUGCGAGCCAGGUUCUGUCGUCAUCAUCGUCAUCAUCUCUGUUUAGUCGAUGAGGAAGCUGAGGCACAGGGAGGCCAAGUAACUUGCCCAAGUGCACACAGUUGGGGCAUGGAGGGACAAGGAUUCAAACCCAGCAGACCUGAAUGUCUAAUCUAGGCCAUUAACCACUCUGCUGCCUCUCAGUGACAUGAUUUCAGCUAACCUAUUUUCUGCCUUCAUUCCGAACUUGGCCAGAAGUGGUCAGUAGAUCACGGUGACUCACCAGCAAAACCACAAAGGAGGUGAAGCCCAUCUCCCUUGCCUUCUAGCCACCCAAAGUCGGCCUCCAGGGGCCCCGACCUAUGAUUCUCCUUCCUCCCCGGCUCUGCAAGGAUGGCAGAGGCCUCCCCCUGCCAUCCAGACUCCCUAAGAUAUGUCAACGGGUUGUGGGUUUCCCACUCACUUAGGCCUCAUAUUCUGAAGUGAGAAAGCGCUAAUUUCCUGGUUUGGGGAAAAAGAGGAAAUACAACAUGCAUCACUUAAUGAACACACUCUGCAUGUCCACAUAUAUGUAAAUUAACUCAUUUGGUUUUCAAGUCAACUCAUUCUUGUUACUUGUCCUAUUUUACAAAUUAGGCCAAUGAGGCUUAGGGAGCUUGUGUGACCUGCCCACAGGUCCACAACCAGAAAAGGAACAGGAAACACUGCCCAAAUAUAUGGACCAUACUCUUUCUCUCCGUCUCUCCACCCUCUCUUCCCAUAUCUGGUUGUCUCAUCUCCCUGACUCUCUCAUCACCAGUCUAAUUUGUGUGUGUGUAUGUGUAGGGGGGAUCUUUAAUAAUAUUAUUAAUUCAAAUUAAGUAUUUUGGGUUUAAAUACCUUCUCUUCAAAUUUGAUUGUAAUUUUCCUGGAGUUUUUCAUGUCUCCAGUUCUAUGAAGUUGAAAGUUGAACCAUCCCUGACCUAAAUCAGUGUUUUAGAGUGGUUGAAAGAGAGGUAAUGCAUGUGCAAUGAUUUCAAAAGCAUCAAGUCAUCUACCAGUGCUGGGCUGCUGUUUUGUCUCGUCUUUGUUAAUGGCGUCUGGCACAGUUGCCAGGCUGUGCGGAGGAGCACUCCUGGGAAGCUCCAGAACAGCGCCAGCAUCAUCCAAACCUGAUAUGUUUUAUUCCACCUAAAACCACAAAGGCAACUGGGACUUGUUCUACCAACAUCAUAGUCCUAACACUGGUGGAAACUGACGUAAACGGAGGGGCUCACUACCAUCAACCCCAAACCUGAGGGGCUUUCAUUUCCACAAGCAGCCUCAGAGUCUUCUCCACAUAUAAUGAAUAUGCAUAUGGUAAUAACAUGGCUAAGUUUUUGAAAUCUUUUAUUCAUUUAUAUUCUAUCAUAUAUACAAUCACAUAAUAAUAAAAAAUGUUGAUAAUUUCUUUGAUUAAGAAAUGUUAUUUUAAAAGUAACACUUGGUUUUUGCCAAAAACUUGGAAAGUGCAAAAAGAAUAAGGAAGAAAAUUUAACUCAAUAUUAACUUUAGAACCCAGAUAUAUAACCCCUGCUAACUUUCUGUUCUAUUUCUUUCUGGACUUUGAUUUGCAUAUGUAUUUUAAAGUAUAAUUGGGCAUCAUAUAUAUAUAUAUACUGUUUUGUAUGUAUAAUUUUUCACUUACCUUUAUAU
ensembl:lncRNA